GCGGCAUGCUUAACACAUGCAAGUCGAACGGAAAGGUCUCUUCGGAGAUACUCGAGUGGCGAACGGGUGAGUAACACGUGGGUGAUCUGCCCUGCACUUCGGGAUAAGCCUGGGAAACUGGGUCUAAUACCGGAUAGGACCACGGGAUGCAUGUCUUGUGGUGGAAAGCGCUUUAGCGGUGUGGGAUGAGCCCGCGGCCUAUCAGCUUGUUGGUGGGGUGACGGCCUACCAAGGCGACGACGGGUAGCCGGCCUGAGAGGGUGUCCGGCCACACUGGGACUGAGAUACGGCCCAGACUCCUACGGGAGGCAGCAGUGGGGAAUAUUGCACAAUGGGCGCAAGCCUGAUGCAGCGACGCCGCGUGGGGGAUGACGGCCUUCGGGUUGUAAACCUCUUUCACCAUCGACGAAGGUCCGGGUUCUCUCGGAUUGACGGUAGGUGGAGAAGAAGCACCGGCCAACUACGUGCCAGCAGCCGCGGUAAUACGUAGGGUGCGAGCGUUGUCCGGAAUUACUGGGCGUAAAGAGCUCGUAGGUGGUUUGUCGCGUUGUUCGUGAAAUCUCACGGCUUAACUGUGAGCGUGCGGGCGAUACGGGCAGACUAGAGUACUGCAGGGGAGACUGGAAUUCCUGGUGUAGCGGUGGAAUGCGCAGAUAUCAGGAGGAACACCGGUGGCGAAGGCGGGUCUCUGGGCAGUAACUGACGCUGAGGAGCGAAAGCGUGGGGAGCGAACAGGAUUAGAUACCCUGGUAGUCCACGCCGUAAACGGUGGGUACUAGGUGUGGGUUUCCUUCCUUGGGAUCCGUGCCGUAGCUAACGCAUUAAGUACCCCGCCUGGGGAGUACGGCCGCAAGGCUAAAACUCAAAGGAAUUGACGGGGGCCCGCACAAGCGGCGGAGCAUGUGGAUUAAUUCGAUGCAACGCGAAGAACCUUACCUGGGUUUGACAUGCACAGGACGCGUCUAGAGAUAGGCGUUCCCUUGUGGCCUGUGUGCAGGUGGUGCAUGGCUGUCUUCAGCUCUUGUCUGGAGAUGUUGGGUUAAGUCCCGCAACGAGCGCAUCCCUUGGCUCAUGUUGCCAGCACUUAAUGGUGGGGACUCUUUAUAAACUGCCGGGGUCAACUCGUAGGAAGGUGGGGAUGA
rnacentral:rRNA from 1 species